CCCAUGCCCGGGUGUGAAGAGACGGUGGCGGUUAACGGUUAUUACCCCACGCCUCCGGCUCCCAUGCCUCGGCCAACUACGGGGCUGGUGACAGGGCCUGGAGGGAAGGGCAUGAAUCGUGCUUCGUAUUUUGCCAGCCAGCGCCCAUCCCCAGUAACAAUCCAAUUAUCGUGCAGACGGUCUAUGUGCAGCACCCCAUCCCCUUUUUGGACCGUCCUGUCCAAAUGCGUUGUCCUUCCUGCAACAAGAUGAUCGUGAGUCAGCUGUCCUGUAACGCCGGUGCUCUGACCCGGGAGCCCGUGCCUGCUGGGGUGCGUGGCGGGCCUGCUGCUUCAUCCCCUUCUGCGUGGACGCCCUGCAGGACGUGGACCGUUACUGUCCCAGCUGCAGAGCUCUGGUGGGCACCUACAAGCGUUUGUAGGACUCAGCCAGACGUGGAGGGAGCCGGGUGCCGCAGGAAGUCGUUUCCACCUCUCAUCAAGCUUCACACCUGGUGGAGGUUCUGCCCUGGUGGUCUCACCUCUCCAGGGGGCCCACCUUCAUGUCUUCUUUUGGGGGGAAAUGUCGCAAAACUAACAAACCUCCAAACCCCAAAAACUGCUGCUUGGAGUCGUGCAUAGGACUUGCAAAGACAUUCCCCUUGAGUGUCAGUUCAACGGUUUCCUGCCUCCCUGUGACCCUGAGUCCUCCCAUCUAACUGUGAUCAUUGCCCUCUCCGAGUAUCUUCCAGUGAUCUGCCAUCAGUGGCUCUUUUUUCCUGCCUCCGUGGGCCUUUCCGGUGGCAGCCUCAAACUGAGAAGCCACAGUUGCCUUAUUUUUGAGGCUGUUCUGCCCGGAGCUCAGCUGAACCAACCUUUAGUGCCUACCAUUAUCUUAUCCAUCUCUUCCCAUCCCUGAUGACAAAGAUCUUGCCUUACAGACUUUACAGGCUUGGCUUUUAGAUUCUGUAACUUCAGACUUCACUAGCACACAGAUUCACUUUCAUUUCCUAAUUUUUUUUUAAGUACAAAGAGGGGCUAUUAACACCCAGUACAGACAUAUCCAUGAGGUCAUAAAUGCAUGCUAGAAAACUAGGGCUGGAUUUUAUCACUGCGCUGUCUCCCCUUGUUUCUCUGUGCCAGAUCUUCAGUGUCCCUUUCCAUACAGGGACUUUUUUCUCAUAGAGUAAUUAUAUGAACAGUUUUUAUGACCUCCUUUUGGUCUGAAAUACUUUUUAAUAGAAUUUCUUUCUUUAAACAAACAAAAAACCAGAGAUGGGGUCUUACUGUGUUGCCCAGGCUGGUCUCGAACUCCUGGGCUCAAGUGAUCCUUCUGCCUUGGCCUCCUGAAGUGCUGGGAUUGCAGGCAUGAGCUACUGUGUGGGGCCUGAACAUAAUUUCAAGAGGAGAAUUUAUAAAACCAUUUUCUCUAGUCAUAUGAUUGGUGUCAUUUUCCCAUUUGCCAAGGUAGUCUCACUUAAAAAAAAAAUAAGGAAAAGAAAUGG